ensembl:lncRNA
UUGGGGUUAAAUAGUAUUAUUGUGGUUGUAUAUGCGAAAAACAAUAACCUUUAUGUGAGAGUAUAAAAUCAGUGUAGCAAUGUUUCUUUUCAUUGCUUUUCUUAUUCCCACCUUUAAAAUUUAAAACCUUUCACAACAUAUAUUUACCUGAAUGUUACAUACUCAUAAUUAGCUUUUUCUUACAAGGGAACACAAAGAUCAUUAUUUCAAUGUUUUGUUGAGUUUCAAAUGACACAGAGCUCUGAGUUGAAAAUGUUCUCAUUAUGGCUUUUUAUAGCUUAACACAAAAUUUUGAGAUAGAACAAAUGGGUAUUUGUAAGGUAAAAUACAUUCUAAGUAUUUUAAUAAUUAGUAAAUAAAGGUAACAGUAAAAAAAAAAUAGCUUUUAAAAAAGCAUCCCCCUAGAAUCCUUCUAGAAUGGCCAUUAUUUCUAUAUAGCAUUUUCUUUAUAUACCACUUGGUUGUUCAGCAUUAGCAAUAACCUCACUCCUAACCCCAGUGCAUAUAACCCUUCUAUUAUUCUAAGGGCCCAGAGAGUAAAAAGAAUCAUGCCUUUCACUAUUUAAUCACCAAAUUUGAUUUUCUUUACAAAUAGCCUGAGGUUAGGUCUGUAAUAUUAUGUAUCUCUUAAUUCCACUUUGAAGGUAAGCAAACAUUUACCACCUCACUCAGUUGCUAAAUACAAUCCAUAUUAUUUUCUGUAAUUCAGGCAUAAAGCCCUAUUGAUUAUGUGCAAGUGGCCACUUACUAGGUUGCCUUAAGCAAUUGAUUGUUGAAUUCGCUGAAUGAACGUCUCUGGCUUUGAGAGGCAAAAAGCUACAGACUUCAUUACAACCCUCUCCCUGCAUAAAGGGUUUCAAUGGUUCCCAGGUCCAAGGAUGAAGCCCCAAAUGUUUGUGAGGCCAGCAAGACCCUGGAAGACCUGGCUCCUUCCCUCUGCCCCAUUCCAUCACAAGACAUGAUCAUCUUUGUUCUUUCUAAUAACAACCAUCACCAUGACCAUCACCACAAUAAUAUCUAUACAGGGCUUAAGUAUUUUAUACAAUUCAUUUAAUCAUUAUGACCACCCUGUAAGGGAGGGAUUAUUAUCCUCACUUUAUGAAGGAGCUUCACUGAUUUGCUGGAGAUCAUGCAGCUGCUACCUAAGUGUCAUGGCCAGGGGUCAAACACAGGCUCUCGGGUUCCAGGUCUGUGCUCUUGGAUCUAGAUCCUUAAUCAGAAAUAGGAUCCAGUACGAAGUAGGGCCUUAAUGAAUCUUCAUUAAGUGACUGAACAAAUGGGUUUUAUAAUUAGUCAAGAAGUUUAUAUAGUCAAGUUUAUAAUUAGUCAAGAAGUUUACAUAGUCAAUACCCAACUUCUUGACUUUCCAAUAUAUGUACAUGCCUGAUGGGGUGCAAAGAAGGAUUAAAAUGGAUAAUGCAAAGAUAUGGGUUUUGCAAAUUUGAAUGUUCUUCACAAAUAGUUUUUAUGCUUUGCUCAACAAUUAUUUUUGAGCACCUAGAAUGUACCAGGCACCCAGACUAGAAUGAGACACUGCCCUACCUUCAGAGUUUAUGGCUUAGUUUAGGACAAAGACCAAGGAAUGAACCCUUAUUUACAAAAAAAAAAAAAAAAAAAA